rnacentral:rRNA from 1 species
UGGGGAAUAUUGCACAAUGGGCGCAAGCCUGAUGCAGCCAUGCCGCGUGUAUGAAGAAGGCCUUCGGGUUGUAAAGUACUUUCAGCGGGGAGGAAGGUGUUGUGGUUAAUAACAAAAGAAAUUGACGUUACCCGCAGAAGAAGCACCGGCUAACUCCGUGCCAGCAGCCGCGGUAAUACGGAGGGGGCAAGCGUUAAUCGGAAUUACUGGGCGUAAAGCGCACGCAGGCGGUCUGUCAAGUCGGAUGUGAAAUCCCCGGGCUCAACCUGGGAACUGCAUCCGAAACUGGCAGGCUUGAGUCUUGUAGAGGGGGGUAGAAUUCCAGGUGUAGCGGUGAAAUGCGUAGAGAUCUGGAGGAAUACCGGUGGCGAAGGCGGCCCCCUGGACAAAGACUGACGCUCAGGUGCGAAAGCGUGGGGAGCAAACA